UCGAGGUCGCCGAGGCGCGCGGCCGUCCGCGUCCUGCAGCCCCGCGGCCCCGCGGCCCCGCGGCCAUGCCCAAGCGGGGCUGCCCGUUCGCCGACGCCGCCCCGCUGCAGCUCAAGGUCCGCGUGGGCCCGAGGGAGCUGAGCCGCGGCGUGUGCGGCGAGCGCUACGCGCGAGAGGUCUUCGAGAGGACCAAGCAGCUCCUUUUCCGCGGGGCCCAGGCCUGCAGGGGUCACACGUGGGGCGAAGGCUGUGCCAUCGUCCACCUGCCAGAGUCUCCGCAGCCCGGCCCCACGGGGACCCCGCGGGCUACCAGAGGGCAGAUGCUGAUUGGACCCGAUGGCCGACUGAUCCGGAGCUGCGCCCAGGCUUCCGAUGCUGACGCGUCCGGGACGGCGCCCGUGGCGUGCUCCUCGUGCGUGCGAGCCGUGGACGGGAAGGCCGCGUGCAGCCAGUGCGAGCAGGCGGUGUGCCGGCAGUGCGUGCGCACCUGCUGGGGCUGUGGCGCCGUGGCCUGCGCCCUGUGUGGCCUCGCAGACUCCGGCGACGGCGACGUCUGCGAGGAGGCGCUGUGCGCAGGCUGCGCCAUGUUUGCCGUCUGAGGCGGCGGGGGAAGGCAGCUCCACCAGACGGCGCCCGGCUGCCUGCCGCAGGAGGCGACGCGGCGGUCGCAUGGGAUGUUUUGUAGCUCUGAUGACAGAACUCAGGAGGUGGGACUCCAAUCAAACACUUCACGAGACCUCUUAGCGACCAAUAAGAAGCUGGGAUAGCGCGUGGCCUGUCAUCUCAGCCCUGGUGGGAAGCAGAAAUGGAAGGAUCGCAGUCCAGGCCAACCUGAGCAUCAAUACAAGUUUCUAGUCAAAGUCCAAGGCAAAGGACACGAGGUGCACCCCAAGGGUAGUGCACCGGCUGGCAGGCCGAGGCCCCGGGUCAAGCCCCAGCACUGCCAGAAGCAGAGACGCAGGAAGGGACCCACUGUGGGACCCAGAAGUGACCGGGGGACUGAGCAGUUCUAAGUAGACAAAGACAAAAAAAUGGCUGUCGUUCUUUUUUUUUAAUACAGUGUUGGUAUUAGGGUGUUGUACAGAGGGGUUGCCACUCAUAAAUCAGGUGAUGAGUCCAGUUCUUGGACAAUGUCAUC